rnacentral:lncRNA from 1 species
UAGAUAAAUAAAGUACUGAAAAGAUUAAAUAAGAUUAUAAAUUAAAAAGUUAAAUUGCUUUUGUAAAGACACAUAAAGACCCGAUCGUGGCGAGGCCUAUCGUAGAGAAAAUAAGAUCGCUGACUUAUAAUUUGAAAAGAUCCAUGGACAAAUGGGCAAUGAAAAUACUGGGAACAAGUAAUUACACAGCAAGCUCAGCAGAGGAAGUCCUGAGAAAACUAAGAGAGACCGAUUGGGAUGUGGAUAACACCUUUAUAACGUACGAUUUUGAAAGCCUUUACCCAUCCCUAAAGAUAGAGCCUGUGACUAUGGCACUAUACAGAUUUCUACCAGCUAAUGUUCCACAAGUAGAAGACAAUGCCCCAUUUUUUAGAGAAAUAACCUCACUCAUAUGCCAUAAUUCGUUUUUUAUAUACAAAG